UACCAGCACCCCGAGUGGUCGGGACGUUUAUUGGGCCUAAAGCACCCGUAGCCGGUUCUACAAGUCUUCCGUUAAAUCCAACUGCUUAACAGGUGGGCUGCGGAAGAUACUAUAGAGCUAGGAGGCGGGAGAGGCAAGCGGUACUCGAUGGGUAGGGGUAAAAUCCGUUGAUCCAUUGAAGACCACCAGUGGCGAAGGCGGCUUGCCAGAACGCGCUCGACGGUGAGGGAUGAAAGCUGGGGGAGCAAACCGG
rnacentral:rRNA from 1 species